CUUUCAAAUUUGUCCACAUAUUUCAGAUUGGUGAUUGAAAAAACUAGCUAUUCUAAUGAUGCAUAUUUUUUUCAUAGGCCCUUUUUAAGGAGAUGGGAAAAGAACGACCAACGGAGCUACACCAAGGAGCGAGUUCCCAACCACAUGGGACACCUAAUUCAUCUCAUAUGAGACCCCAAGCCGCCGAUGACAACACUGGUGAUGAUGAUCUAGGUGCAAAUGGUGGUGCUGACAACUCCAGUAGGAAUACUAGUGAGAACAACGUUAGUGCUGGUGGUGGCGACACUAGUUCCAACAUUCGUGAAACUGAGACCUAGAAUCAUAUAUGGUGGUUGUAACCUUGGUAGUGCCUUUUGUUGACUUGGAGCCAGACUUUAGAACUAAUGUUGGUGUUGGCAACAAAGCAGCAUUUUGCUAGUUGCAAGACUUUAGAACUAAAGGUGGUGUUUGCAACAAGGUAGCAUUUUGGUAGUUGCAAGACUUUAGAUGAACUGUGAUGUACUUUGCUUGUAAUGCUUUGGAUAUGCAAAACUGAUGGUUAUCCUUGUAAGCUGAGAACUGUUAUGUAGAUUGUUU